UGGUUCUGGCAUCGAUGAAGAACGCAGCGAAAUGCGAUAAGUAGUGUGAAUUGCAGAAUUCAGUGAAUCAUCGAAUCUUUGAACGCACAUUGCGCCCCUUGGUAUUCCAUGGGGCAUGCCUGUUCGAGCGUCAUUUGUACCCUCAAGCUCUGCUUGGUGUUGGGUGUUUGUCCACUGUCGUGGACUCGCCUUAAAGUCAUUGGCAGCCAGUGUUUUGGUAUUGAAGCGCAGCACAUUUUGCGCCUCUAGCCUAGAGCACUCGCGUCCAGUAAGCCUUUUUCCACUUUUGACCUCGGAUCAGGUAGGGAUACCCGCUGA
rnacentral:misc_RNA from 1 species